rnacentral:rRNA from 1 species
GUUAAAAAGCUCGUAGUUGGAUCAAGAGUACAACAGUGCACGGUGGCCCUGUUUGUUAUGGUGGUUCCGAUCACCUGACGGCAGCGGAUCAACCCUGUGCGCCAAACUGUUGUCUCUAACUGACCGAAACGUUCCCCUGUGAGUAGUUCCCUUCAUUGGGAUUGAAAGCGCUUACGCAUCAACCAUAUGCAUACGGGACGUCGGUCAGAGUUACUGUGAACAAACCAGCGUGUCCAAAACAGGCCUCCGGCCUGAAUGUUCGAGCAUGGAAUAACAAGGGAUCGAUUCUCUCGGUUCUUUUUGUUGGUUUUUAACCCGAGAAGGAGUAAUUCAGGCCACGGUGUCUGAGUUGGGUUUCCCUCCACUUCGGUGAAGGCCCCAAUUAGGCCGUGUCCUUACGGGAUAAAUAGGGACUGACGGGGUCGUACGUACUUCUACGUCAGAGGUGAAAUUCUUAGAUCGUAGGAAGA